GGCCUAGUAGCGGACGGUCCGCACCUGUUCCUGUUGAUUACAGCCUCAGCUUUCAGCAGGAGAGUGCUCGUUCGACUCGAGCCUGGGCCA